rnacentral:rRNA from 1 species
GAUGAACGCUGGCGGCGUGCCUAAUACAUGCAAGUCGAGCGAAUGGAUUAAGAGCUUGCUCUUAUGAAGUUAGCGGCGGACGGGUGAGUAACACGUGGAUAACCUGCCCAUAAGACUGGGAUAACUCCGGGAAACCGGGGCUAAUACCGGAUAACACUUUGAACCGCAUGGUUCGAAAUUGAAAGGCGGCUUCGGCUGUCACUUAUGGACGGACCCGCGUCGCAUUGGCUAGUUGGUGAGGUAACGGCCCACCAAGGCAACGAUGCGUAGCCGACCUGAGAGGGUGAUCGGCCACACUGGGACUGAGACACGGCCCAGACUCCUACGGGAGGCAGCAGUAGGGAAUCUUCCGCAAUGGACGAAAGUCUGACGGAGCAACGCCGCGUGAGUGAUGAAGGCUUUCGGGUCGUAAAACUCUGUUGUUAGGGAAGAACAAGUGCUAGUUGAAUAAGCUGGCACCUUGACGGUACCUAACCAGAAAGCCACGGCUAACUACGUGCCAGCCGCCGCAGUAA